GGACUUGUGGCGCAGCGGUAGCGCGUGUGAUUCCAGCAACGAGGACUUCGGUUCUCCGGUCUGAAUCCACAAGGUCAUCAGUUCAAAUCUGGUCGAGUUCA